rnacentral:rRNA from 1 species
CUUGACCUCAAAUCAGUAGGACUACCCGCUGAACUUAAGCAUAUC